rnacentral:lncRNA from 1 species
CUCUCCUCUCCUCUCCUCUUUUUUUUCCACUCACAUCCCCAUUGCGAUAAAGAUGAGCAGAAAUUGAAAUCUAAAGAUGUUCAUGGGAUGCUUCACGUUAGCAAAACAGAAAAUUUUCUGUUGUUAAAGAAAAGAACAGAAGUUCAUAAUUGCUAACAAAGAAAGCCAGCAAGAAUCACUGUGGUAAUCUGCCAGCAUCUUGGGAAUGAAGGAGGGCUGCCUAUAGGUGUGUCAUGAGAAAAGCUGCUACUUGAUUGUUUGUCUUUCAAAGGGACUUGCUGGACCUGGCUCCAGGAUUUGUUAACUGGCUGUGUACGUUACCAGCAGCACGGCUGAGCACGGCUGUCCCUCUCUGCCUGUCCCCAGGCCACAGCCCAGUCCUCCGUUGGAGGUGACGGAGAGCCGCAGUCAUUUGACGCCGUGGCUUUGCAUCACUCUAGGCCUCCACUUAUUGAAAAGUAACAAAACUGCUUGCAGGUAAACACAUGAGAUCAUCAACCCUCCCAUUAAUUAGGAGGGAGUGUUCCAAUACUGGCCAUAAUCAUCUCAAGCGGAUACGGAAGACCAGCCUCGUGGUAGGACUUAAUGCAGCAGGGAAGCUCUUAACACCAGGAGAAAUGAGCUGCAAAAGCAGGAAGCCCUGUCGAGCACAGCACUCCAGGAAGAACACAGAGGGUGCCAGCAAACCUGACCGCCUUGGAGUAUGGCGAUUGAGUGCUUUUAUGCGUGUUCAUCCCUGAACCUUUGCUUACAUGAAGAUUCAGAGGGACGUAUAUUUUAUCUGUCUCUAACCUAAAAUUCUCCAGGGUGAUUGUUUAGCUUGUAAAAUAUUUAGAUGCACACACCCACACAUGGCCCAUUUUGUUUUUUGAGUGAGGUUUGUAUAGUUGUAUGCCUAAUUUGUUUGUGCAGCUUCUGUCACUGAAUAUUCAUAUUGUAAAUGGACAUGCAAAUGCUUAGAUACAAAGAUACCAAACUCACUUUUCCUCAUUUUUUUGUAGAAACGAGAAUGCAUUUUGUCACACAAUGAGUAGACAGCAGUCUGUGCUUUUUAAAGGGAAAGUGGGCUCAGGAAGAAAAAAGUUCCAGUUACCCCACCACAAAUGCAUUAAGCCUAAAAUAAGUUGUUCUAAAAAUAUAUGUACCAAAGCUGUAAGUGGGAACUAUUCAUAGUGGAUGGCCACAUUCUUGACCCCUGUCUGUGCUGGUUAUAAGAUAACUGCAGGAAUUCCCAAGUUGCAAUUAGAAGUGCUACCCCAUUCUAGAAACACUUGAAAAUGAAGUUAUGGUUACUGUAGAGAGGUGCUUCCGAUUUUUUUAUUUAUUCACUAAUUCAGAAAAAAAUAAAUUAAAUGUAAUUAUCA